rnacentral:rRNA from 1 species
GAUGAACGCUGGCGGCGUGCCUAAUACAUGCAAGUCGAGCGAACGGACGAGGAGCUUGCUCCUCUGAUGUUAUCGGCGGACGGGUGAGUAACACGUGGAUAACCUACCUAUAAGACUGGGAUACCUUCGGGAAACCGGAGCUAAUACCGGAUAAUAUAUUGAACCUCAUGGUUCAAAAGUGAAAGACGGUCUUGCUUUCACUUAUAGAUUGAUCCGCGCUGCAUUAGCUAGUUGGUAAGGUAACGGCUUACCAAGGCAACGAUGCAUAGCCGACCUGAGAGGGUGAUCGGCCACACUGGAAGUGAGACACGGUCCAGACUCCUACGGGAGGCAGCAGUAGGGAAUCUUCCGCAAUGGGCGAAAGCCUGACGGAGCAACGCCGCGUGAGUGAUGAAGGUCUUCGGAUCGUAAAACUCUGUUAUUAGGGAAGAACAAAUGUGUAAGUAACUGUGCACAUCUUGACGGUACCUAAUCAGAAAGCCACGGCUAACUACGUG